ACGAACGCUGGCGGCGUGCUUAACACAUGCAAGUCGAACGGUGAAGCGCCUUCCUUUUUGGUGGGUGUGGAUGAGUGGCGAACGGGUGAGUAACACGUGAGUAACCUGCCCCCUUCUUCUGGAUAACCGCAUGAAAGUGUGGCUAAUACGGGAUAUUCUGGGUCUGUCGCAUGAUGGGUCUGGGAAAGAUAUUGUUUCGGUGGGGGAUGGGCUCGCGGCCUAUCAGCUUGUUGGUGGGGUGAUGGCCUACCAAGGCGGUGACGGGUAGCCGGCCUGAGAGGGUGGACGGUCACACUGGGACUGAGACACGGCCCAGACUCCUACGGGAGGCAGCAGGGGGGAAUAUUGCACAAUGGGCGCAAGCCUGAUGCAGCGACGCCGCGGGAGGGAUGGAGGCCUUCGGGUUGUGAACCUCUUUCGCCAGUGAAGCAGGCCUGCCUCGUUUGUGGGUGGGUUGACGGUAGCUGGAGAAGAAGCGCCGGCUAACUACGUG
rnacentral:rRNA from 1 species